rnacentral:rRNA from 1 species
UACGUAGGGUGCAAGCGUUGUCCGGAAUCAUUGGGCGUAAAGCGCGCGUAGGUGGCUUCGUAAGUCCGUUGUGAAAGUCAAAGGCUCAACCUUUGAAUGCCGAUGGAUACUGCGAAGCUAGAGUACGGAAGAGGCGAGUGGAAUUCCUGGUGUAGCGGUGGAAUGCGCAGAUAUCUGGAGGAACACCGGUGGCGAAGGCGGCAUCCUGGACCGGUAUUGACGCUGAGGCGCGAAAGCCAGGGGAGCAAAGCGGG